CCUAAUCCUCUAACUACGCUAAUUACAAUCCUAAUUAACCUAAUUAUAUACUAAUUGAAAACCAAACAAACAGUUAGAACUCAACACAAAAUUCAUCUUCUUCACACGGUUUCGUGACAACGAGAGUGGAACAAGCCACGACGAAGACCAAGCUGCGCCGCUCCGUCGCCGGCAACGACGAUCUUGAACGACGAUGUCGUCGCUCCACCUCCUCCAAUCUUAAUCAAGAACGACUCAUCCAUCAAUACGGAACAGAAGCUAAUGCGAUUCGGUCCUUACCGGUGCCGGUGUCGAAUCUUUCGCUGGAUUUUCGAUCGAUUCUUCGUCCUCCCCUCUGCUUCUGUUCGUUUUGCCGUGGAUUGAAGAUUUGGUUUCGCGGUUCGAUGAAGAUUGGUGCGGUUUGUUGUGAUUUCGCGUGGUGACGGUUGAAGGUUCGGUUAACGGAGAUUACGGUUACGGUUACGGUUACAGAUUCGCAAUGGUUGAAGGUUUGGCCAAUGGAGAUUACGGUUACGGUUGUAAGAAGGUUUUGGUUAGAGAUGCGAUGAGGUUGAAGAAGAAGAAUCUGGAAGAGGAAUUUGAGAGAGGGAAGAAGAAUCUGGAAGAAGCUUGAGAGAGGUGAAGAUUGGUUUAUAUAGAGUGAUGGAGAGGUUAUUGUUGUGCUGUAAUGCAGAAUUUUGUUCAUGACUGGCUCACGUUUGGAGCUUGGUUAACGGCGUCGGCAUUGGCUUGCUAAGCUUGUGCGUACUAGCUGCGUUUUGCUUGUUGUUGUACCGGCUUGGCUCAUGCUUUUCGUUUGCUGCUUUGUGAAGCUUGGAGCAGCUUUUUGCUUGGUGAAGCUUGUCAUUGCAUCUUGGAUUUGUACGCUUGCGUUUAGAUAGCAUGAAGUGUGUGUUUGGAGCUGGCUUCUGCAUUUGGAUAGCAGCUCGUGUGCAAUUGGAUUGUUGCUGUACUUUAUUUAUUACUUUUCCAUUUGGCUGUCGUCAUUUUUCUGCUACUGUCCUGCGAUUUGAAGCUUCACUUCCUUUUGAUUUUACUGUUAGCUUAUUUCAUUGCUGUUUCUAUCUUUUUCUUAGCUUUUUAUUUUUCUUAUUUGGACAAUGUUAAUGUAUGGAUUGGAUUUUGUGGUAAUUGUAUCAACAAUGGGUAAUUGGUAUGAAUUAAUUGGAUUUGGUUUAAAAA